UGAGGAAAUUUGGGCAAUGGAGGCGACUCUGACCCAGCCAUGCCGCGUGCAGGAAGACUGCCCUAUGGGUUGUAAACUGCUUUUAUACAGGAAGAAACACUGGUAUGUAUACCAGCUUGACGGUACUGUAAGAAUAAGGACCGGCUAACUCCGUGCCAGCAGCCGCGGUAAUACGGAGGGUCCGAGCGUUAUCCGGAAUCAUUGGGUUUAAAGGGUCCGCAGGCGGUCAAUUAAGUCAGAGGUGAAAUCCCAUAGCUCAACUAUGGAACUGCCUUUGAUACUGGUUGACUUGAGUUAUACGGAAGUAGAUAGAAUGUGUAGUGUAGCGGUGAAAUGCAUAGAUAUUACACAGAAUACCGAUUGCGAAGGCAGUCUACUACGUAUAUACUGACGCUCAUGGACGAAAGCGUGGGGAGCGAACAGGAUUAGAUACCCUGGUAGUCCACGCCGUAAACGAUGGAUACUAGUUGUUGGGCAUUAGCUCAGUGACUACAGCGAAAGCGAUAAGUUCCC
rnacentral:rRNA from 1 species